AUUGAACGCUGGCGGCAUGCCUUACACAUGCAAGUCGAACGGCAGCACGGGAGCAAUCCUGGUGGCGAGUGGCGAACGGGUGAGUAAUAUAUCGGAACGUGCCCAGUCGUGGGGAUAACGUAGCGAAAGCUACGCUAAUACCGCAUACGAUCUAUGGAUGAAAGCGGGGGAUCGCAAGACCUCGCGCGAUUGGAGCGGCCGAUAUCAGAUUAGGUAGUUGGUGAGGUAAAGGCUCACCAAGCCGACGAUCUGUAGCUGGUCUGAGAGGACGACCAGCCACACUGGGACUGAGACACGGCCCAGACUCCUACGGGAGGCAGCAGUGGGGAAUUUUUGGACAAUGGGCGCAAGCCUGAUCCAGCAAUGCCGCGUGCAGGAUGAAGGCCUCGGUGUAAC
rnacentral:rRNA from 1 species